GAUGAACGCUAGCUACAGGCUUAACACAUGCAAGUCGAGGGGCAGCAUGGUCUUAGCUUGCUAAGACUGAUGGCGACCGGCGCACGGGUGAGUAACACGUAUCCAACCUGCCGUCUACUCUUGGACAGCCUUCUGAAAGGAAGAUUAAUACAAGAUGGCAUCAUGAGUCCGCAUGUUCACAUGAUUAAAGGUAUUCCGGUAGACGAUGGGGAUGCGUUCCAUUAGAUAGUAGGCGGGGUAACGGCCCACCUAGUCUUCGAUGGAUAGGGGUUCUGAGAGGAAGGUCCCCCACAUUGGAACUGAGACACGGUCCAAACUCCUACGGGAGGCAGCAGUGAGGAAUAUUGGUCAAAUGGGCGCAGGCCUGAACCAGCCAAGUAGCGUGAAGGAUGACUGCCCUAUGGUUGUAAACUUCUUUUAUAAAGGAUAAAGUCGGGUAUGGAUACCCGUUUGCAUGUACUUUAUGAAUAAGGAUCGGC
rnacentral:rRNA from 1 species